CAGGUCUUGGGCGGUAGCUGCAGUGUGUCUGUACGCUGCAGCUGGCCCGUAUGAACCGACACUAUGACGGGAGGAGGCUGGACCUCCGUCCCGGCAGCUGCAGGUGUGAGCAUUCAUUCAGCUGUCUGAUGCUCAUGUAUGAUGCUGCAAACAUCC
rnacentral:snoRNA from 1 species